rnacentral:rRNA from 1 species
AGCGAACGCUGGCGGCAGGCUUAACACAUGCAAGUCGAACGCCCCGCAAGGGGAGUGGCAGACGGGUGAGUAACGCGUGGGAAUCUACCUAGCUCUUCGGAAUAGCUCCGGGAAACUGGGAUUAAUACCGAGUACGCCCUACGGGGGAAAGAUUUAUCGGGGUUAGAUGAGCCCGCGUUGGAUUAGCUAGUUGGUGGGGUAAUGGCCUACCAAGGCGACGAUCCAUAGCUGGUCUGAGAGGAUGAUCAGCCACACUGGGACUGAGACACGGCCCAGACUCCUACGGGAGGCAGCAGUGGGGAAUAUUGGACAAUGGGCGAAAGCCUGAUCCAGCCAUGCCGCGUGAGUGAUGAAGGCCUUAGGGUUGUAAAGCUCUUUCGGUGGGGAAGAUAAUGACGGUACCCACAGAAGAAGCCCCGGCUAACUUCGUGCCAGCCGCCGCUGUAAAAC